CUUGUUAAAGUAUAAGAGGUCCAGCCUGCCCAGUGAACUAUUCAACGGCCGCGGUACCCUAACCGUGCAAAGGUAGCAUAAUAACUCGUUCUUUAAAUGCGGACUUGUAUCAAUGGCAUCACGAGGGUUGCACUGUCUCCUCCCCCCAAUCAGUGAAACUGACCUCCCCGUGAAGAGGCGGGGAUUUUAUUAUAAGACGAGAAGACCCUAUGGAGCUUUAAACCCACAUGUAACCCCUAAAUAACUACUUCUACAUAUCCCCGGGGACCUACAUACCGGUUUUAGGUUGGGGCGACCACGGAGUAAAACAUAACCUCCCUGAUGAACGGAAAACCUCCUCCUUAUUAAAGAACCACACUUCUAAAAAUUGGCAAACCAACACUACUGACCCGUAAUACGAUCAACGAACCA
rnacentral:rRNA from 1 species